AUUUAACCAGGUAGGCUAGUUGAGAACACCUUUAUUUAACCAGGUAGGCUAGUUGAGAACAAGUUCUCAUUUACAACUGCGACCUGGUAAAGAUAAAGCAAAGCAUUGUAACACAAACAACAACACAGAGUUACACAUGGAAUAAACAAACAUACAGUCGAUAUUAAAAUAUAAAAAGUCUAUAUAUAGUGUGGGCAAAUCAGGUAGGUAAGGCAAUAAAUAAGCCAUAGUGGCGAAAUAAUUAAAAUAUAACAAUUUAACACUAGAGUGAUAGAUGUGCAGAAGAUGAGUGUGCAAGUAGACAUACUGGUGUGCAAAAGAGCAACAUAAAUAACAGUAUGGAGAUGAGGUAGUUGGAUGGGCUAUUUACAGCUGAGCUAUGUACAGGUGCAGUGAUCUGUGAGCUGUGCUGACAGCUCGUGAGGGAGAUAUGAGUUUCCAGCUUCAGAGAUUUUUGCAGUUCGUUCCAGUCAUUGGCAGCAGAGAACUGGAAGGAAAGCCGGCCGAAGGAGGAAUUGGCUUUGGGGGUGACCCGUGAACUAUACCUGCUGGAGCGUGUGCUAUGGGUGGGUGCUGCUAUGGUGACCAGUGAGCUGAGAUAAGGCGGGGCUUUACCUAGCAAAGACUUAUAGAUGACCUGGAGCCAUUGGGUUUGGCGACAAAUAUGAAGCAAUGGACAGCCAACGAGAGCAUACAGGUCGCAGUGGUGGGUAGUAUAUGGGGCUUUGGUGACAAAACGGAUGGCACUGUGAUAGACUGCAUCCAAUUUGCUGAGUAGUGUUGGAGGCUAUAUUGUAAAUUACAUCGCCGAAGUCAAGGAUCGGUAGGAUGGUCAGUUUUGGCAGCAUGAGUGAAGGAUGCUUUGUUGCGAAAUAGGAAGCCGAUUCUAGAUUUAAUUUUGAAUUGGAGCAUCUUAAUGUGAGUCUGGAAGGAGAGUUUAGAUAUAGGUCUGUAGCAGUUGGGGUCUAGAGUGUCACCCCCUUUGAAGAGGGGGAUGACCGCAGCAGCUUUCCAAUCUUUAGGAAUCUCAGACGAUACGAAAGAGAGGUUGAACAGGCUAGUAAUAGGGGUUGCAACAAUUUCGGCAGAUAAUUUUAGAAAAAGGGGGUCCAGAUUGUCUAGCCCGGCUGAUUUGUAGGGGUCCAGAUUUUUUAGCUCUUUCAGAACAUCAGCUAUCUGGAUUUGGGUGAAGGAGAAAUGGUGGGGGCUUUGGCGGGUUGCUGUGGAGGGUGCCGGGCAGUUGACCGGGGUUGGGGUAGCCAGGAAAGCAUUGCCAGACGUAGAGAAUUGCUUAUUGAAAUUCUCAAUUAUAGUGGAUUUAUCGGUGGUGACAGUGUUUCCUAGUCUCAGAGCAGUGGGCAGCUGGGAGGAGGUGCUCUUAUUCUCCAUGGACUUUACAGUGAUAACCACAAUAACAACGAAAUGUGCAAACGUUGCCCAAUUAGCGGGAGGGUUGGUGGCAACUUUAUGUCUUGUGCGGUGCUGAAGUUCAGAACGGCUUUCAGUCAAAACCAAUACAGCGCUGUGAAACACCGAGCCUGAGCUCUGAUGUCAUUUAUAGCAUGUUACUGUACAGCCACUGCGUUACAUUUUCAAGCCGUAUACAGGUACGAGUGUAAAGGGUUAAUAAAUCACAGUGGGAGCACAUCAAAGUUAUGAACAGGUAUUCAUCAUUUCUUUGUAUUUGACCUUCUGUCAUGUUCUAUCCAAAAGAGGACUUCAUCAGAGGAUAUCAUCAACCAGAGGAUAGGGCUGCUCCUAGCUAUUAUCCUCAAGACUAAUGCAUCUGUAACUUUGUCCAGUCCUUCCUGGGAUGGGAGUUUUGGAGACAGGGCUGUCCUAAAAGCACAUUUAAAACCCAGUACAGCCUGGGGGUGACUAGUUCCAUGUUGCCAGAACUGCAGCAGAGAGACUCCUGUCUGGGAGGACUUUCUAUUAACCCACCAGAGCGAACGCAACACAUUCAAAUUUUUGUUCUCCAUCUCCAGGGGUCUCAUUUAUCAACUGUGCGAAAUUACAAAUGAUUGUGAUUUAUCAAACUGUUGAUCGCAACAUAUACACAUGUUUUCAUUGAUAAAUCAGAGCCAUACUAUAUUUGUGCGGUCAUGGACUAGCAUUACAACCCCACCUGGAAAACUCCAUUCACCUUUUCUGGUAACAAAAAUACCCUCAUAUGCUGUAUGAUUUGGAAAUGUUGGAACUGGGCCAUGAUAGUUCCUAAAAGAAAGAGCAAUGGCAAAUUUGAUCACACUUCUGUCAAUCUUUUGCAAUUACUUUUUCAUACUCAACAUGCAUGUGAGUGCCAGACACUGGCUGCAAAUUCUGCAAGAUUUAUUGUCUAUUCAAGUAAAUGCUACAGCCCACAAGUGUAUGCAAAAGAAAAACUGCUGUUUAAUCUUUUUUCUAUCGAUAGAUGAUUGUGUUUUUAUCUCCUGGCUUGAUAUAGGCUCUGAGAUGAAAUAGGCUAUGACAUUGUGCACCUAUUGCACAGAUAUUUAUCAUUAUGUUUUUAUUCACAUUAUUAUGAAUGAUUCCAUUUCCCCCAAAUAACAAUAUUUGUUGGCAAUACCAUUCUUCAAACACUAGAAGUUGUGCGUACGCAUGGUCUGAGCUGUGCGUGGAGAUACGCACCCUUUCCAUCAAGUUCAAAUUUGAAGAAUUACCAACCUUAGCAGGAAAACUGGCACACACAAGGCUUAGUGUUUCUUGUGCUUACGCACCUUUGAUAAAUGAGGCCCCAGAACUCGUUCCCACAGAAGCUCCCGCAGGCACUAUUCUCGCUCCCGUUCCCACCACCAGUGUUUCCAGAGCCGCUCCCACAGCCCGGAAUACCGUUUGUGUCAGAGCUACAGCCAUUCCCCCAUGUUCAACAGCCACAGGCACAUCGGCAACAGGAGUGCAGAGAACAGAAUGGAAUCAGACAGAGGAAGGAGAUGAGAAAUUUCCUCCACCACUGAACCAUCAAACACAGACCAGACUCCAACCCCUGAGACCUCCAGUCCACAACCCCCUCAGCCAGACACAGACCCCACCCCUGGGACCUCCUCUGACCAACUGAAGCCGGCCCAGAGUUGUUCCUGCUCAUGAGUAGUGCCCAGAGUCUUUCCUUGACCACAUGACAUGACCAGGAAAAACGUCUGCCCAUGACUCACUGUUCCCCCAUGUCUCCUCGGGACUUUGCUGGCCCAUUGGAAAACAUCUGCUGAAGAACCAAAGCCUCCAAAAGGAAAGACAAUAAAGAAACUUGCUCAAAUAUCCCAAAAAAUAACAAACAAUGAACCACCUCAGAAGCACAAAACACAACAGGCAAAGAAAUCACACUAGUUGCAAGCCCAAGAAGAGGAUGAUAAACAAAGCUGCCAGAAUACAGACACAAACAAAGAAUUUGCUCAAAUAGCAGCCACAAACAAAGAUUUUCCUCAAACCCCAGACAAAAACAAAGAAGUCUCUCAAAUGCCCCCAAUAAGGGAAGUGGAUAUGGAGGCUACUGAAACAUGGGACGCAGUGGACAUUCUGACCUACCAGAUUCGGACAUCCUAUGGAUACUUACACACACACCAGUGCACAGUACACAAAGACUCCUGUUUCCAUAUUUUUUUACCAGACGUUUUGCUGAAGAAAUGGUUUCUCUUUAUUUGUUGUGUUUCUUUUGUAAAAUUAUGUUGGUGAAUAUUAUUUCAUAAAACAAUGUUAGAUUUCAGAACCAAGAGUUGUACAUAGAUACUGUAUGUCUACAUUUGAUUUCUAUUAAAAAAGUCUCAAGCAGAGGUUGUUCUCUACUGGUUAA